rnacentral:rRNA from 1 species
UGUAUGAACGGCUGCAUGAGGACCAAACUGUCUCCUCUGGCUAAUCAAUGAACCUGAUCUCCUAGUACAAAAGCUAGAAUACACCCAUAAGACGAGAAGACCCUGUGGAGCUUAAAAUAUAAGCACUAACCUACACCACCCCAUCUGGCCCACCCCAAAAAAUAGUGCACAUUUUUAGUUGGGGCGACUACGGAACAAAACCAAACUUCCACGACUAGAGCAACCCACCUCUCUACAAGGUCAACAAACCAACACACAACUUGACCCAGUAAUACUGACCAACGAACCAAGUUACCCCAGGGAUAACAGCGCCAUCCUCUUCAAGAGCCCAUAUCGCCAAGAGGGUUUACGACCUCGAUGUUGGAUCAGGACCCCCCAGUGGUGCAACCGCUACUAACGGUUCGUUUG